rnacentral:misc_RNA from 1 species
UCCGGUUUGUCACCGGCAGUCUCAUUAGAGUGCCCAACUGAAUGUAGCAACUAAUGACAAGGGUUGCGCUCGUUGCGGGACUUAACCCAACAUCUCACGACACGAGCUGACGACAGCCAUGCAGCACCUGUGUGUCGGCUCCCUUUCGGGCACGCCUCCGUCUCGAGAGGCUUCCGACCAUGUCAAGGGUAGGUAAGGUUUUUCGCGUUGCAUCGAAUUAAUCCACAUCAUCCACCGCUUGUGCGGGUCCCCGUCAAUUCCUUUGAGUUUUAAUCUUGCGACCGUACUCCCCAGGCGGUCGACUUCACGCGUUAGCUGCGGUACUAAGGAAGUCUCCUUCCCCAACACCUAGUCGACAUCGUUUAGGGCGUGGACUAC